CCGAAUCUCCGGACAACAGCAGGCACUGGCACCAAAGACACCACCCCCUCCUGCGGAAGUGGAUUUCCAGCGCGGGCAAGUGGAAAGUGCUCAUGGGGGUGGGGGUGUCUGCCACUGCAGAGCUCGUUCUAUGAGGGGCCUCGUUCCUUCUUCCCACCAGCCUCUGCUGUGGGCAUCUGUAUCAGCCCCACCUUGCUGGGGAGGAGGUGGAGCUCUGCCUGGCCCAGGAGAGGGGCUUGGCCUCCAGCACACCUGGGUCUGGGGCCCUGCCUGGGCUGCCAGGGCAGCUUGGGGGACUACGUGAGGUCACCUGUUCAUUUUGCAGGAAUUCAUGGCCCUACGCUGUACAGGAUCUUCUCUGGGCUCUGGGAACAUAGCAGGUGUCAACAGCAGCACAACCAUGUGAGGACUGAUGACAAGAACGGAGUGGAAAAUACCCGGCCAUCUGGGAAUUACAAAAACAACCCAUCAGCCAAACAAGAAACCAUAAUGGAAACCGAUAUUUGGAACUGAAUGAUGAAAAAGUACUUCACAGUAAAACUUGUAGGAUCCACCUAAAAUUGCAUGGAAGGAUAAUUCUAUGGAUUUAAAUGGUUAUAUUAGAAAAGAAGGAUGUCUGAAAAGUAAUGAGCCGAACAUCCAGCUCAAUAAACUAGAAAAAGGGGAACAAAGAAAGAAGGAAAUAAAAAAAUAAGAGCAGAAAUUAAUGAAAUGGAAAACAAUAUACAAAACAAAGGAAUAACUAACGCCAGAAGCUUGAUCUUUGAAAGGACAUCAGUUUUAGUGAUCUGUUUCAUUGCAGUGACCGCAGUUAAUAAUAAUGCAUUUUAUGUUUUUAAAUUCUUAAAAGAAUAGAUUUUAAAUGUUUUCACCACAAAAAAUAAUGUGUUGAUGAGGUGAUAGAUAUGUCAAUUAGCUUGAUUGAAUCUUUCUACAAUGUAUACAUAGAAUAAAACAUUACAUUGUA
rnacentral:lncRNA from 1 species